AACGAACGCUGGCGGCAUGCCUAACACAUGCAAGUCGAACGAGACCUUCGGGUCUAGUGGCGCACGGGUGCGUAACGCGUGGGAACCUGCCCUUAGGUUCGGAAUAACUCCCCGAAAGGGGUGCUAAUACCGGAUAAUGUCUUCGGACCAAAGAUUUAUCGCCUUUGGAUGGGCCCGCGUUGGAUUAGCUAGUUGGUAGGGUAAAAGCCUACCAAGGCGACGAUCCAUAGCUGGUCUGAGAGGAUGAUCAGCCACACUGGGAGUGAGACACGGCCCAGAGGACUGAGGGAGGCAGGAGUAGGGAAUCUUCCGAAAUGGGCGAAAGCCUGACGGUGCAAAGACGCGUGAGUGAAGAAGGACUUCGGGUCGUAAAGAGAUGAGGGUCGGGAAGAAUAAGUAUGGUGGAAAUAGGCGUGGAAGAGACGGUACAUAACGAGAAAGCAACGGCUAAGUAAGUG
rnacentral:rRNA from 1 species